rnacentral:lncRNA from 1 species
AUAACUUAUCAAACUAUUGGUCAUAACUUAUUUCUCGAUCACAAAUUAAAAAUUUUAUAUGUUACAGAUUAUUUUUCAAUCAUGAAUCAAAAAUUUUGUAGGUCGUAGAUUAUUCAUCGAUCACAUAAUCAAUAAUUUUAUUGGUCGCAACUCACAAAUUAGUAGAUUAAUUGGUCACUAUUAAUUUUUCAGUCACAACUUAAUCAAUUCUGAGUCAUAGACACAAUUUUUAGCUCAAAUAUUACAAAUUAACCAAUUAUUAGUCACAAUCAACUAAAUAAUUGGUCACAAGCAUCCAACCCCAUCUCAUCCCACCCACAACCAUCGCCACGACCACCACAACUACCAUAAUUAUCACCAUUAAAUGUACCCUUUUUUCCAAGUAGUUCUUGAACCGCUUUCAAAGUAAAAGGGCACAAAAAAUUAUCAAUUCCGAGAGCAAUAGUGUAAGGCUUUGCUGACAGUGGAAUUGCCUCAAAAACAACAUAUUAAGUCUGUUCAGAGAAUGAAUUGAUACUCUAAACAAAACAAGAUAUACAAAAACAUAGUGACUUACCUACAUGCUCAUUCGAUGUUUCUUCACUGACUGUAGAGUCAGAUCUAAAGAAGCAUUGCAUCUCACCCAACCACCCACUGCACAUAGCACCGCAUCCAAUCACCCGUUGCACACCCCCAUUGUAGAUUCACCACCGCACCCAAAAAUGGAGGAAAGGACCCCCGAUCUGCAGCACCCAUGGAGAAAUGCUGCCUGCACUGCUGUCAAACAUCACCGUUCAACGCUUCGUCGCAUUCACUGCAUCACCACACACAGCGAGCAACCGGAUCUACAACCAUCGCCACCAAUAAAACCAUAGCCAGACUGGAUCCAAACAUAACCUCUGCUACCACUGGAUCCAACAAGCCACCAAACACCACCACCAUAGCCCCGCCCAACAAACUAUGUCUUCAAAGCAGUUGCGGGGCCUUCACAGCGGUAGUGGUGGCGACGACUGUAUCUUCGUCGAACAAAAGUAAGGGGGAUAGAGAGAGAGAGAAACGAGACGAGAGAGGGAUAAAAAGAGAGGAAUGAAAUGAAAAAUUAAUUA